GACCUACGGGACGCAGCAGUGGGGGAUAUUGCACAAUGGGGGGAACCCUGAUGCAGCGACGCCGCGUGGGUGAAGGAGCGUUUCGGCGCGUAAAGCCCUAUCGGCAGGGAAGAAGAUGACGGUACCUGACCAAGAAGCCCCGGCUAACUAUGUGCCAGCAGCCGCGGUAAUACGUAGGGGGCAAGCGUUAUCCGGAUUUACUGGGUGUAAAGGGAGCGUAGACGGUUACGCAAGUCUGGAGUGAAAGGCGGGGGCCCAACCCCCGGACUGCUUUGGAAACUGUAUAACUGGAGUGCAGGAGAGGG
rnacentral:rRNA from 1 species